rnacentral:rRNA from 2 species
AGAGUUUGAUCCUGGCUCAGAACGUACGCUGGCGGCACGCCUAACACAUGCAAGUCGAACGAAGUAGCAAUACUUAGUGGCAGACGGGUGAGUAACAUGUAGGUAUCUGCCCUUUGGCCUGGAAUAACACGAGGAAACUUGUGCUAAUACCGGAUAAGUCUUUACGGAGAAAGCUUUAUGCACCAUUGGAUGAGCCUGCACUUGAUUAGUUUGUUGGUAGGGUAAUGGCCUACCAAGACUGUGAUCAAUAGCUGAUUUGAGAGGAUGAUCAGCCACAUUGGGACUGAGACACGGCCCAAACUCCUACGGGAGGCAGCAGUGGGGAAUCUUGCACAAUGGAGGAAACUCUGAUGCAGCGAUGCCGCGUGAGUGAAGAAGGCCUUUGGGUUGUAAAGCUCUUUCGUCGGGGAAGAAAAUGACUGUACCCGAAUAAGAAGGUCCGGCUAACUUCGUGCCAGCAGCCGCGGUAAUACGAAGGGACCUAGCGUAGUUCGGAAUUACUGGGCUUAAAGAGUUCGUAGGUGGUUGAAAAAGUUGGUGGUGAAAUCCCAGAGCUUAACUCUGGAACUGCCAUCAAAACUUUUCAGCUAGAGUAUGAUAGAGGAAAGUAGAAUUUCUAGUGUAGAGGUGAAAUUCGUAGAUAUUAGAAAGAAUACCAAUUGCGAAGGCAGCUUUCUGGAUCAUUACUGACACUGAGGAACGAAAGCAUGGGUAGCGAAGAGGAUUAGAUACCCUCGUAGUCCAUGCCGUAAACGAUGUGUGUUAGACGUUGGAAAUUUAUUUUCAGUGUCGCAGCGAAAGCGAUAAACACACCGCCUGGGGAGUACGACCGCAAGGUUAAAACUCAAAUGAAUUGACGGGGACCCGCACAAGUAGUGGAGCAUGUGGUUUAAUUCGAAGAUACGCGCAGAACCUUACCAACACUUGACAUGUUCGUCGCGACUCUAAGAGAUUAGAGUUUUCGGUUCGGCCGGACGAAACACAGGUGCUGCAUGGCUGUCGUCAGCUCGUGUCGUGAGAUGUUGGGUUAAGUCCCGCAACGAGCGCAACCCUCACUUUUAGUUGCCAUCAUUAAGUUGGGCACUCUGAAAGAACUGCCAGUGAUAAGCUGGAGGAAGGUGGGGAUGACGUCAAGUCCUCAUGGCCCUUACGUGUUGGGCUACACACGUGCUACAAUGGUAUCUACAACAGGAAGCAAGACUGCGAAGUUAAGCAAAUCCCUAAAAGAUACCUCAGUUCGGAUUGCACUCUGCAACUCGAGUGCAUGAAGCUGGAAUUACUAGUAAUCGUGGAUCAGCGUGCCACGGUGAAUGCGUUCCCGGGUCUUGUACACACCGCCCGUCACACCAUGGGAGUUGGUUCUACCUUAAGGCAAGGUUUCAAACCCUUGACCACGGUAUAGUCAGCGACUGGGGUGAAGUCGUAACAAGGUAACC